CGCGGAAGGUUGCCCGUGGCGGUUCUUAAAACAUGAAAGAGCCGGGUGAUGGUUUCGUGGGAGCGAGAGGUCUUUGCAUGAACUAGAGCCCAAGCCGAGAAAGUAAUCGGAAACCUGGGCAGGGAGGAAAGUAAAGGGAAGCGGAACCCUGCCAGAGGCGGGGCAAGGAGGAAAACGGAGGCAGCCUGAGUCUGGGAAGACCGGGAGAGAACCGGAAACCCUAACCCAGGAGCGUUGAGGGAAUCGGAUCCAGGUUGAGGAGGGCCCGGGAAGCAAUCGAAUCCGUGCUGAGGGAUGUCGGGCCGAGAAGGGCUGAGGAGGGUACUGCAGUUCGGGCGGGAAGGCUGAGACUCACUGGAGAAUUUCUAAAGGAUGUACAUUGGCAAGAAGUACGUUAAACCUGGAAAGACUGAAUGAGAUAAAAUCGGUAACUGUUGGAAAAUAGAGAGCAAGAAGGCACAAGCGAGCAAGGGACAGAGAGAGAGAAGAGGAACUCUCCAGAAGCAGGGUUCGAGCUCAUCCGAAGCAGGGUUCGUGCUCACCUGAAGCGGGGCUUGAGCUCACCCAAAGCAGGGCUCAAGCUCACCCUAUGCGGGACUUGAACUCACGAGC